rnacentral:lncRNA from 1 species
GACUUGGCAAGGCCAAGGAACCGAUGGGUCACCGAUUUGAGAGGCACAAGGCGUCCUUAACAUGUCGGGGGAGAAUGGGCAAGCCAAGCUCAAGCCCAUAGCAAUGCAUAAGCCACCCCAAGAGAUCUUUGCCCGAUAUAGGGAACCUGGUCCUGGAGUCGUUGGCUACAUUUCUAUGGGCACGGGCGGCUAAAAAAUCAUCACCCCGGCCACUAGCGCCGGGGAUCGACCCACCACCGUUGGUGAGUCAUUGCGGGACUAUCCGACCCCCGUGGGGGCUGCGGACGCACCCCACCUAGGGUUGGAGGGGGGCCACGCGGGGGGCAGUGGAUCUCUACCCCUUAAAGAGCUAAAAAAAUUUCGUCAAUCUGCUACCAGGCAACAUUCGUAUGUCUGAAAUGGGGACACUUUUCUUUAGCCCGCACAUCCGAGGCACUAGGGUGCCCAUGCUGCUCGAGGCACCCGCACAUCCAACGUCCUAGGUUGCCUACGUUGUCCGAGGCUCCCGCACAUCCAAGCACCAAGGUGCCAAUGCUGAUCGAGGCUCCAGUACAUCCGAGGCACCAAGGUGCCGAUGGUGCCAGAGACUCCCUCACGACCAAGGGCCUAGGUUGCCGAUGGUGCCUGAGGCUCCCGCACGACCAAGGGCCUAGGUGCUGAUGGUCCCGAGGCUCUCGCAUGACUAAGGGUCUAGGUUGCCAAUGGUGCUCGAUGCUCCCACACGACCAGGGGCCUAGGUUGCCGAUGGUGUCCGAGGCUCCCGCACAUCCAAGCACCAAGGUGCCGAUGGUGCCCGAGGCUUCCGCAUGACCAAGGGCCUAGGUACCGAUGGUUCCGAGCUUCUCUACGACCAAGGGCCUAGGUUGCCGAUGGUGCCUGAGGCUUCCUUACGACCAGGGGCCUAGGUUGCAAAUAGAGCCCGAGGGUCCCGCAUGACUAAGGGCCUAGAUUGCUGAUGGUUCCGAGGCUCUCGCACAACCAGGGGCCUAGGUUGCCGAUGGUGUCUGAGGCUCCCACACGACCAGGGGCCUAGGUUACCGAUGGUGCCAGAGGCUCCUGCACGACCAAGGGCCUAGGUUGCCGAUGGUGCCCAAUGCUCCCGCAAGACCAGGGGCCGAAGUUGCCGAUGGUGCCUAAGGCUCCCGCACGACCAGGGGCUUAGGUGCCGAUGGUGCCCGAGGCUCCCGCACGACCAACAGCCUAGGUUGCCGAUGGUCCUGAGGCUCUCGCACGACCAAAGGCCUAGGUUACCGAUGGUGCCCGAAGCUCCCGCACUACCAAGGGCCUAGGUUACCGAUGGCGCAGAGGCUCUCGCACGACCAAGGGCCUAGGUUGCCGAUGCCACUAAGGCUCUCGCACAUCCAAGCACCAAGGUGCCGAUGGUCCCCGAGGUUCUCGCGCAUCCAAGCACCAAGGUGCUGAUGGUGCCCAAGGCUCUCGCACAACCAAUGGCCUAGUUUGCCGAUGGUGUCCGAGACUCCCGCACAUCUGAAGCACCAAGGUACCGAUGCUGCUCGAGGCUCCCGCACAUCUGAGGCUCCAAGUUGUCGAUGCUGCUCGAGGCUCCCGCACAUCUGAGCACCAAGGUGCCGAUGCUGCUCGAAGCUCUCGCACCACCGACGUCCUAGGUUGUCAAUGGCUUCCAAGGCUCCAGCAAGUCCAAGCAACAAUAUGCCGAUGCUCCCGCACCAUCGACGUCCUAGGUUACCAAGGGUGCAUGAUGCUCCGGCACGACUAAGGGCCCAAAGUGCUUGGGAGAGGGACCGGGAUGAUUCAAAAGGGAAGGUACCUGGGGGAGGGACCGGGACGACUUGUAGCAUUGUUUUCUAUAUUUUGGGAUGGCUCACCGGAGCACCACCGGGAUGGCUCGCCGAAGCACCUCCGGGAUGCCUCACCGGAGCACCGCUGGGAUGGCUCACUGGAGCACCGCCGGAAUGGAUCGCCCGAGCACCGCCGGGAACCUAACCGGCAAUGGGGGGACACUGACGUCUGGGCAUGAAAUCUGCGUGGGCAGUGUCCUGGACAACCCCUGUUCGCCUCAAUAUCACCUCCCCCCUAAAGAGAUAAAGAAACUUGGUCAAUGUGCUACAGGCAACAUUCAUGCAUCUGAAACAGGGACACUUUAUGGUACCGACGCUUCUGCACCAAUGGGGGCCCAAAAUUAGCUUUGGUGCUUGACCUUCCCGCACAUCCGAUGUACUAAAGUGUCGAUACUGCUUGAUGCUCCGACACAUUAAAAGGGCCGAUGGUGCCUGAUGGCCCCGCACCAUAGGAUGGCACACGCUGCCGAUAGUGUACGAGGCUACCGCACGACUGAGGGCCAAAGGUGCCGGAGGUUCUUGUUGCAAAACGGAAGGGACAGGGACGAUUCAUUCAUUGUUUGGUACCAGACAUGCAACGGUAUCCAAAUUCUACCUUUGGGACGAUUCAUUCAUUAUUGGGUACCGAACAAGUAACGAUAUCCGAAUUCUACCUUUUGGGAUUAGAGAGAGACUCACUG